rnacentral:rRNA from 1 species
AGAACCUUACCUGGUCUUGACAUCCACAGAACUUUCCAGAGAUGGAUUGGUGCCUUCGGGAACUGUGAGACAGGUGCUGCAUGGCUGUCGUCAGCUCGUGUUGUGAAAUGUUGGGUUAAGUCCCGCAACGAGCGCAACCCUUAUCCUUUGUUGCCAGCGGUCCGGCCGGGAACUCAAAGGAGACUGCCAGUGAUAAACUGGAGGAAGGUGGGGAUGACGUCAAGUCAUCAUGGCCCUUACGACCAGGGCUACACACGUGCUACAAUGGCGCAUACAAAGAGAAGCGACCUCGCGAGAGCAAGCGGACCUCAUAAAGUGCGUCGUAGUCCGGAUUGGAGUCUGCAACUCGACUCCAUGAAGUCGGAAUCGCUAGUAAUCGUGGAUCAGAAUGCCACGGUGAAUACGUUCCCGGGCCUUGUACACACCGCCCGUCACACCAUGGGAGUGGGUUGCAAAAGAAGUAGGUAGCUUAACCUUCGGGAGGGCGCUUACCACUUUGUGAUUCAUGACUGGGGUGAAGUCGUAACAAGGUAACCGUAGGGGAACCUGCGGUUGGAUCAC